UCAUAUUGAUUGCAGCACAGUAACAAGAGGCCCUCCAGCAGACGUGGUUUUGUCUCUCUAGGCAAGUGCAGCUGUGAACAGGGCUCCCGGAUCCAACUGGAACUGAGAUGUGAAUGGGAGAAAAAGAUAAUUUCUGUCAUCAAUGGCUUCUCAAUAUCUCUCUGAGUUGAUAAUCCAUUGCUUCAGAUGCCACUCUUGCUUUCCACAGGAGAUUUCCAAGGGAGGAGUUGGGGCUGUAUCUAUACCUCACAGCAAUUUUAUUUGCCUCCCAGCAAUGUUGUUCGGUUGGUAGAUCAACUGAUGUGUAUGUGCACUGUAGAAGUAAGGAAAAUGCACUUGAAGGUAGUCUCUUAUCUAUCUUUGCAACGUUUUAUUAGUUUAAAUACAGUAUCACUCAAACUAACCUACUUGGCCAGAAAAAAAAAAUACAUUCUUUAUGCUGGCUAAGCAAUCGGUAAUCAAGAAUUCAGUCCAUGAACACCUGAUGGAAAUAAAAGUGAUCCUUAAACUUGAAAA